rnacentral:rRNA from 1 species
GACGAACGCUGGCGGCGUGCUUAACACAUGCAAGUCGAACGGAAAGGCCCUGCUUUUGUGGGGUGCUCGAGUGGCGAACGGGUGGGUAACACGUGAGUAACCUGCCCUUGACUUUGGGAUAACUUCAGGAAACUGGGGCUAAUACCGGAUAGGAGCUCCUGCUGCAUGGUGGGGGUUGGAAAGUUUCGGCGGUUGGGGAUGGACUCGCGGCUUAUCAGCUUGUUGGUGGGGUAGUGGCUUACCAAGGCUUUGACGGGUAGCCGGCCUGAGAGGGUGACCGGCCACAUUGGGACUGAGAUACGGCCCAGACUCCUACGGGAGGCAGCAGUGGGGAAUAUUGCACAAUGGGCGGAAGCCUGAUGCAGCAACGCCGCGUGCGGGAUGACGGCCUUCGGGUUGUAAACCGCUUUCGCCUGUGACGAAGCGUGAGUGACGGUAAUGGGUAAAGAAGCACCGGCUAACUACGUGCCAGCAGCCGCGGUGAUACGUAGGGUGCGAGCGUUGUCCGGAUUUAUUGGGCGUAAAGGGCUCGUAGGUGGUUGAUCGCGUCGGAAGUGUAAUCUUGGGGCUUAACCCUGAGCGUGCUUUCGAUACGGGUUGACUUGAGGAAGGUAGGGGAGAAUGGAAUUCCUGGUGGAGCGGUGGAAUGCGCAGAUAUCAGGAGGAACACCAGUGGCGAAGGCGGUUCUCUGGGCCUUUCCUGACGCUGAGGAGCGAAAGCGUGGGGAGCGAACAGGCUUAGAUACCCUGGUAGUCCACGCUGUAAACGGUGGGUACUAGGUGUGGGGUCCAUUCCACGGGUUCCGUGCCGUAGCUAACGCUUUAAGUACCCCGCCUGGGGAGUACGGCCGCAAGGCUAAAACUCAAAGGAAUUGACGGGGCCCCGCACAAGCGGCGGAGCAUGCGGAUUAAUUCGAUGCAACGCGUAGAACCUUACCUGGGUUUGACAUGGAUCGGGAGUGCUCAGAGAUGGGUGUGCCUCUUUUGGGGUCGGUUCACAGGUGGUGCAUGGCUGUCGUCAGCUCGUGUCGUGAGAUGUUGGGUUAAGUCCCGCAACGGGCGCAACCCUUGUUCACUGUUGCCAGCACGUUAUGGUGGGGACUCAGUGGAGACCGCCGGGGUCAACUCGGAGGAAGGUGGGGAUGACGUCAAGUCAUCAUGCCCCUUAUGUCCAGGGCUUCACGCAUGCUACAAUGGCUGGUACAGAGAGUGGCGAGCCUGUGAGGGUGAGCGAAUCUCGGAAAGCCGGUCUCAGUUCGGAUUGGGGUCUGCAACUCGACCUCAUGAAGUCGGAGUCGCUAGUAAUCGCAGAUCAGCAACGCUGCGGUGAAUACGUUCCCGGGGCUUGUACACACCGCCCGUCAAGUCAUGAAAGUUGGUAACACCCGAAGCCGGUGGCCUAACCGUUGUGGGGGAGCCGUCGAAGGUGGGACUGG